ACUUUCUUCAAUCAUUCAACACUUUAAACACCGGUUCAACACCACUUUAAACUCCCGCACAUGGUCUUAGGGGUACUCAAAAAUGUAUUUAAGCUUAAUAAAAAUAAGAUAAGAUUAAAGAAUGCAGAUGAGUUGUCUUCCGGUAUCCCGAUAUUAGUCUUUGUUUGUUCAGCAUUUGUGCUUUGUCUUGUAAUAAUCGUUGACUUGAUUGAAAUCAAUCAAUCCAUCGAAACAAUGUCUCCCCCCUCCCCACCCUCCUCCGAUCAUCCAUGGACCUACGACGUGUUCAUAAAUUUCAGAGGAGAGGAUACUCGUAGAUCCUUUGUUUCUAUUCUCUAUGCUGGACUCUCAAACGCCGGAAUCCGCACUUUUCUUGACAAUGAAGAACUUAUAAAGGGAGAGGAGCUGGGACCAGCACUAAAGAAAGCAAUAGAAGAGUCUCACAUAGCUAUUGUUGUUUUGUCAAAGAACUACGCAGAAUCUAGCUGGUGUCUUGAUGAACUAGUACACAUCAUGGAAUGUCGCGAUUAUUAUGCUCAGGUGGUUAUACCCGUAUUUUACGAUAUUGACCCAUCGCAUGUCCGUAAGCAGACGGGUAAUUUUGGAGAAGCCUUGAAAGUCACAGCAAGGAAAAAACAAGAUAUGCUGUCCGAGUGGAGGACUGCACUCACCCAAGUUGCAAAUCUAUCGGGCUUCGAUGCCACCACUUUCAGGACUGAAACUGAACUCGUAAGUACACUCAUUGAGGACAUUUUCACAAAACUAGAUAACUCAUUCUUGUCUAUUACUCAAUAUCCAAUUGGAUUGGAGUCCCGCGUGCGACAAAUUACCAAGUUUAUUGAUGAUCAAUCACGUAAAGUCUGUAUGAUAGGGAUAUGGGGAAUGGGUGGAUCCGGGAAAACAACCACGGCUAAAGCUAUCUACAAUCAAAUCCAUCGUGGAUUUAAGGGUAAAACAAGUUACAUUGAAAGUAUUCGAGAAGUUUGUGAUACUAAUAGUAGAGGGAUUAUUCAUUUACAACAACAACUUCUUUUAGAUCUACUGAAAGAAAAGAAGGAGAUUCAUAGCAUUGCAUUGGGGAUAAAUUAUAUUGAGAAAAGACUUCGGGGACAAAAGGCUUUUGUCGUACUUGAUGAUGUGACCAAGUAUGAGCAAUUACAAGCCCUGUGUCGAAAUCCUAAGCUGUUUGGUUCCGGAAGUGUAUUGAUUAUUACAACUAGAGAUUUAUCCCUUCUGGAUUUACAUCAAGUUCAUUGUGUCUUCAAAAUAAAGGAAAUGGAUGAAAACCAGUCCCUUCAACUUUUCAGUUGUCAUGCUUUUCAAAAACCACGUCCUAAAACAAAUUUUAGUGAACUUUCUACAGAUGUGGUUGCUUAUUGCGGAGGAUUACCACUGGCUCUUGAAGUCCUUGGAUCUUACUUAUAUAACAGGACAAAACAAGAAUGGAGAAGUGUGCUAUCAAAAUUAAAGAAGAUUCCAAAUGAUCAAGUGCAAGAGAAACUUAGAAUCAGCUAUGAUGGUUUAAAAGAUCAUAUGGAAAAGGAUAUAUUUCUUGACAUAUGUUGUUUCUUCAUUGGAAAGAACAGAGCUGAUGUUACAGAGAUACUUAAUGGCUGUGGACUUCAUGCUGGUAUUGGAAUAGCUGUCCUCAUAGAUCGGAGCCUCCUAAAAGUUGGAAAGAAUAACAAGCUUCAAAUGCAUGAUUUGCUACGUGACAUGGGAAGAGAAAUUGUUCGCGAAAGUUCACCAAAUAAGGCUGCAAAUCAGAGUCGAUUGUGGCGUUAUGAGGAUGUGCUGCAUGUUUUGUCAAAAGAAAAUGGAACAGAAACUGUUGAGGGAUUGAUUUUGAAGUUGCAAAGAACAGCCAGAAUUAGAUUCGGUACUCAUGCUUUUCAAGAGAUGAAAAAUCUGAGGCUUUUAAAACUUGAUGGUGUUCACCUCAAUGGAGAUUAUGGGUUAAUUUCCAAACAACUGAUUUGGAUUGAUUGGCAACGAUCUAACUUCAACUUUGUACCGGAUGACUUUUAUCAGGGAAAUCUAGUUGUUUUUGAAUUAAAAUAUAGCAAUGUUAAACAAGUUUGGCAGGAAACCAAGUUGUUGGAGAAGCUAAAAGUACUCAAUCUCAGUCAUUCCAAGUACUUGAGAAGCACCCCUGACUUUUCAAAAUUACCAAAUUUAGAAAAACUCAUUAUGAAGGAUUGUCCAAGUUUGUCCGAGGUACACUCGUCCAUUGGAGAUCUCAAGAACCUCCUUCUGAUAAAUUUUAGGGACUGUACAAGUCUUGACAAUCUCCCGAGAGAGGUGUAUCGAUUGAUAUCAGUGAAAACUCUCAUUCUUUCUGGUUGUUCAAAGAUUGACAAAUUGGAAGAAGAUAUAUUGCAAAUGGAAUCCUUGACAAAACUGAUUGCACCAGAUAUAUCUGUAAAAGAAGGUCCUUUUUCAAUAGUAAGAUUAAAAAGCAUUGCAUAUAUAUCUCUAUGUGGAUAUGAAGGAUUAACACGUGAUAUUUUUCCUUCUCUCAUCAAGUCUUGGAUGUCACCAACCAGAAAUUCCCUACCCCGUGUUUCUCCAUUUGGAGGCAAUUCAUUGUCUCGAGUUUCCUUGGAUAUAGUAGAGAGUAAUAAUAUGGGCUAUCAAUCACCAAUGCCUAGCACCCUUACAAAACUUAGAAGUGUUUGUGUUCGAUGCCACUCAGAGAAUCAACUAACUCAAGAAUUAAGAAGAUUUCUUGAUGAUCUAUAUGAUGUGAAUUUUAUUGAGUUGGAAACAUCACAUGGAGCACAAAGCUCAAAUCUUUCCUUGAGAUCACUUGUGAUUGGAAUGGGAAGUUCCCAAAUAUUCAUGGAUACUCUUAAGAAGAGCUUAUCAAAGGUUUUGGAUGUCACCAACAAUGAAUUCCUUACCUUUUGGGGGCAUGCCAUUGUCUCUGGUUUCCUUGGACGUAGAGAAUAAUAAUUUGGAUUUGGGAUAUCUGUUGCCCAAGCUUAACAGCCUUUCCGAACUUAGAAGUUUUCGGGUACAAUGCCACUCAAAGGGUCAACUAAAACGAGAAUUAAGAAGAUUUCUUGAUGAUCUAUAUGAUGCAAAUUUUACUGAACUGGAAACAUGAGACACGUCACAAAUCUCUGUUCUUUCUUUUAUAUCACUUUUGAUUGGAAUGGAAAGUUACACAGUCAUCAAUAUUCUUGGCAAAAGCAUAUCACAGAGGUGGAAGCAGAACUUUGUUCAUGGAAAAGUAAGACAUGGUCAGGGCCUUGUUCUAGAAGCUUGGACUGUAAAUCUUAAUGUGGAUAACUACCGUAACAGAUAUAUGUUAUUCUCAUGGUUCUUGGUGCCCUCUAUUUUGAGCUUGUUCUUGAUUCCAAAGGUGCUCUAGCUUCUCUUUCACAAAACACUUAAAAUCAUCAUCAAGGCUGAAAUCCGUUGACCUGUACACCAGAAACUUAAAAAAACAGUGAUCUGAAGUAAAAUGAUGAAACUAACAACAACACAUAGAUCUAAUGUAUUCCACCAAAUAUAGUCGUAACAGUUUUAUAGCAUCAAACCUUGUCUAGUUAAGCAAUCAUGAGGUCCACAAUAAUGAGAAAUGGAAACUCUUGCCAAAAUUUCAGAAAAACUUUAAUUGAAACAAACAACACGACAUAGAUCUCAUUUGUGUGUAUAAAACAUAAAGAUUGUUUAUCCUCCCUCUCAGAAAAAUAUUACAGAACACAUACAAUGGAAUCCCGUAUUAGGACAAAGGGGUGCCCAAUAAAAAAUUGAUAAGAUCUCAAUUAUGGUUCGAGCAUAAACAUUCUCCCACUCUCUUUGCAAGUCUUGUAAAGAUUUUUUUAUUUGGCUUCGGUAAUGGUUCAUUCUUGACAUCAGGUGAUGGUUGCACUUGCCCUUGCACUUGCACUUGCACCUCCACUUCAAGUAUUGGUUCAACUUCCAUAGCAGUUGACUCAUAUUGUUGGGAAUUGCCUUUUAAAACGUGAAAAAACUCAAAUCUGCUGUUUUUUGUGCCUCGGGCGAAAAAUCCGUGCCUCGGGCUGAAAAUUUCAGCAGGAAAAGAGGCAAGGUUCUGUUUUCGUGCCUCGGGCGAAAAACUCGUGCCUCAGGCGAAAAUUUCGCAGGCUUAUAUAUAUGUCACGUUUUUUUGGUAUGAUGUGAGGAGAAAUUAGGGUUUCUUUAUCCAACAUCAAUCUAGGAUCAAAAGGGGUUCCUUUUGGGUAUAUUCUAGGGUUGGAGAAGUGUUUCUAACACCUUGUAAUCACUUAUCAUUGAAAUCUCUUGGUCACGGGAAGAGAUUUGAGAAAAUGGUAGAAUUAGGGUUGAAGUCUAAUUCUUGUAACUCUUUUGUAAUGAAUCUUUGUAAUGAAGAAGGAAGUUUGAUAGUGGAUUGGAGGGUCUCUCUCCCCUAGAAUAGGUCGGUUUUGACUGAACUGAGUAAACAAUCUUCAUUGUGUCUUUUAUCGUCUUUUGGUAGUUCUAGCUUUUGUUGAUUUAUUGAUUAUUGCUCAUCCAUUUUA